AAUAUUGCGCAAUGGAGGGAACUCUGACGCAGCGACGCCGCGUGAGCGAUGAAGGUUUUCGGAUCGUAAAGCUCUGUCCUUGGGGAAGAAGGCGGCCAUUUUUGGCCACUUGACGGUACCCAAGGAGGAAGCCCCGCCUCACCACGUGACAGCAGCCGCGGGAAUACGUAGGGGGCAAGCGUUGUCCGGAAUUAUUGGGCGUAAAGGGUUCGUAGGCGGCCUUUUAAGUCAGAAGUUAAAGACCACGGCUUAACCGUGGGGUUGCAUUUGAAACUGGAGGGCUUGAGUAUCGGAGAGGGUAGUGGAAUUCCCAGUGUAGCGGUGGAAUGCGUAGAUAUUGGGAGGAACACCAGUGGCGAAGGCGACUACCUGGACGAAGACUGACGCUGAGGCACGAAAGCUAGGGGAGCAAACA
rnacentral:rRNA from 1 species